rnacentral:rRNA from 1 species
GACGAACGCUGGCGGCGUGCCUAAUACAUGCAAGUAGAACGCUGAAGGAGGAGCUUGCUUCUCCGGAUGAGUUGCGAACGGGUGAGUAACGCGUAGGUAACCUGCCUGGUAGCGGGGGAUAACUAUUGGAAACGAUAGCUAAUACCGCAUAACAGUAGAUGUUGCAUGACAUUUGCUUGAAAGGUGCAAUUGCAUCACUACCAGAUGGACCUGCGUUGUAUUAGCUAGUUGGUGGGGUAACGGCUCACCAAGGCGACGAUACAUAGCCGACCUGAGAGGGUGAUCGGCCACACUGAGACUGAGACACGGCCCAGACUCCUACGGGAGGCAGCAGUAGGGAAUCUUCGGCAAUGGACGGAAGUCUGACCGAGCAACGCCGCGUGAGUGAAGAAGGUUUUCGGAUCGUAAAGCUCUGUUGUAAGAGAAGAACGAGUGUGAGAGUGGAAAGUUCACACUGUGACGGUAUCUUACCAGAAAGGGACGGCUAACUACGUGCCAGCAGCCGCGGUAAUACGUAGGUCCCGAGCGUUGUCCGGAUUUAUUGGGCGUAAAGCGAGCGCGGCGGUUAGAUAAGUCUGAAGUUAAAGGCUGUGGCUUAACCAUAGUACGCUUUGGAAACUGUUUAACUUGAGUGCAAGAGGGGAGAGUGGAAUUCCAUGUGUAGCGGUGAAAUGCGUAGAUAUAUGGAGGAACACCGGUGGCGAAAGCGGCUCUCUGGCUUGUAACUGACGCUGAGGCUCGAAAGCGUGGGGAGCAAACAGGAUUAGAUACCCUGGUAGUCCACGCCGUAAACGAUGAGUGCUAGGUGUUAGACCCUUUCCGGGGUUUAGUGCCGUAGCUAACGCAUUAAGCACUCCGCCUGGGGAGUACGACCGCAAGGUUGAAACUCAAAGGAAUUGACGGGGGCCCGCACAAGCGGUGGAGCACGUGGUUUAAUUCGAAGCAACGCGAAGAACCUUACCAGGUCUUGACAUCCCUCUGACCGCUCUAGAGAUAGAGUUUUCCUUCGGGACAGAGGUGACAGGUGGUGCAUGGUUGUCGUCAGCUCGUGUCGUGAGAUGUUGGGUUAAGUCCCGCAACGAGCGCAACCCCUAUUGUUAGUUGCCAUCAUUUAGUUGGGCACUCUAGCGAGACUGCCGGUAAUAAACCGGAGGAAGGUGGGGAUGACGUCAAAUCAUCAUGCCCCUUAUGACCUGGGCUACACACGUGCUACAAUGGCUGGUACAACGAGCCGCAAGCCGGUGACGGCAAGCUAAUCUCUUAAAGCCAGUCUCAGUUCGGAUUGUAGGCUGCAACUCGCCUACAUGAAGUCGGAAUCGCUAGUAAUCGCGGAUCAGCACGCCGCGGUGAAUACGUUCCCGGGCCU